rnacentral:rRNA from 1 species
UCAGAAUGAACGCUGGCGGCAGGCCUAACACAUGCAAGUCGAACGAAGUCUUCGGACUUAGUGGCGGACRGGUGAGUAACGCGUGGGAACAUACCCAAAGGUACGGAAUAGCCUCGGGAAACUGGGAGUAAUACCGUAUGUGCUUCGGGGGAAAGAUUUAUCGCCUUUGGAUUGGCCCGCGUUGGAUUAGGUAGUUGGUGGGGUAAUGGCCUACCAAGCCGACGAUCCAUAGCUGGUUUGAGAGGAUGAUCAGCCACACUGGGACUGAGACACGGCCCAGACUCUACGGGAGGCAGCAGUGGGGAAUCUUAGACAAUGGGCGCAAGCCUGAUCUAGCCAUGCCGCGUGAUCGAUGAAGGCCUUAGGGUUGUAAAGAUCUUUCAGAUGGGAAGAUAAUGACGGUACCAUCAGAAGAAGCCCCGGCUAACUCCGUGCCAGCAGCCGCGGUAAUACGGAGGGGGCUAGCGUUAUUCGGAAUUACUGGGCGUAAAGCGCACGUAGGCGGAUUAGCAAGUCAGAGGUGAAAUCCCAGGGCUCAACCUUGGAACUGCCUUUGAAACUGCUAGUCUUGAGUUCGAGAGAGGUGAGUGGAAUUCCGAGUGUAGAGUGAAAUUCGUAGAUAUUCGGAGGAACACCAGUGCGAAGGCGGCUKACUGGCUCGAUACUGACGCU